rnacentral:rRNA from 1 species
GAUGAACGCUGGCGGCGUGCUUAACACAUGCAAGUCGAACGGUGAAGCAGAGCUUGCUCUGUGGAUCAGUGGCGAACGGGUGGGUAACACGUGAGCAACCUGCCCCUGACUCUGGGAUAAGCGCUGGAAACGGCGUCUAAUACUGGAUAUGAGCUGCGACCGCAUGGUCAGCAGUUGGAAAGAUUUUUCGGUCUGGGAUGGGCUCACGGCCUAUCAGCUUGUUGGUGAGGUAAUGGCUCACCAAGGCGUCGACGGGUAGCCGGCCUGAGAGGGUGACCGGCCACACUGGGACUGAGACACGGCCCAGACUCCUACGGGAGGCAGCAGUGGGGAAUAUUGCACAAUGGGCGAAAGCCUGAUGCAGCAACGCCGCGUGAGGGAUGACGGCCUUCGGGUUGUAAACCUCUUUUAGCAGGGAAGAAGCGAAAGUGACGGUACCUGCAGAAAAAGCGCCGGCUAACUACGUG